rnacentral:rRNA from 1 species
UACAUGGGGGGCAAGCGUUGUUCGGAAUUACUGGGCGUAAAGGGUGCGUAGGUGGCUUGUUAAGUCAGGGGUGAAAGUUUUCGGCCCAACCGGAAAAUGGCCUUUGAUACUGGCGAGCUCGAGUGCGUGAGGGGUAACCGGAACGAGCAGUGUAGCGGUGAAAUGCGUAGAUAUUGCUCGGAAGGCCAACGGCGAAGGCAGGUUACUGGUGCGCAACUGACACUGAGGCACGAAAGCGUGGGGAGCAAACAGG